rnacentral:sRNA from 1 species
AUGGAUAUGAUGAAAA